GUAGUCCACGCCCUAAACGAUGCGAACUGGAUGUUGGGCUCAACUCGGAGCUCAGUGUCGAAGCUAACGCGUUAAGUUCGCCGCCUGGGGAGUACGGUCGCAAGACUGAAACUCAAAGGAAUUGACGGGGGCCCGCACAAGCGGUGGAGUAUGUGGUUUAAUUCGAUGCAACGCGCAGAACCUUACCUGGUCUUGACAUGUCGAGAACCUUUCAGAGAUGAGAGGGUGCCUUCGGGAACUCGAACACAGGUGCUGCAUGGCUGUCGUCAGCUCGUGUCGUGAGAUGUUGGGUUAAGUCCCGCAACGAGCGCAACCCUUGUCCUUAGUUGCCAGCACGUAAUGGUGGGAACUCUAAGGAGACUGCCGGUGACAAACCGGA
rnacentral:rRNA from 1 species